GAUGAACGCUGGCGGCGUGCUUAACACAUGCAAGUCGAACGGGAUCCAAGGAGCGUUUUUCGUUUUUUGGUGAGAGUGGCGAACGGGUGAGUAACACGUGAGUAACCUGUCCUUUUCUUUGGGAUAAGCUCCUGAAAGGGUGUUUAAUACCUUAUGUUCUGUCUGCCUCGCAUGGGGUGGGUGGGAAAGAUUUUUUCGGUGAAGGGUGGGCUCGCGGUCUAUCAGCUUGUUGGUGGGGUGAUGGCUUACCAAGGCUUUGACGGGUAGCCGGCCGGAGAGGGUGGUCGGACACAUUGGGACUGAGAUACGGCCCAGACUCCUGCGGGAGGCAGCAGUGGGGGAUAGUGCACAAUGGGCGCAAGCCUGAUGCAGCGACGCCGCGUGGGGGAUGAAGGCCUUCGGGUUGUAAACUUCUUUUGCUCUGAACAAGGCGCAUCUGUGGGGUGUGUUGAGUGUAGGGGUUGAUUAGCGCCGGCUAACUACGUG
rnacentral:rRNA from 1 species